rnacentral:rRNA from 1 species
CAGGGGUACUCGAGUGGCGAACGGGUGAGUAACACGUGGGUGAUCUGCCUUGCACUCUGGGAUAAGCUUGGGAAACUGGGUCUAAUACCGGAUAGGAACCGUCUUUAGUGUGGUGGUUGGAAAGUUUUUUCGGUGCAAGAUGAGCUCGCGGCCUAUCAGCUUGUUGGUGGGGUAAUGGCCUACCAAGGCGUCGACGGGUAGCCGGCCUGAGAGGGUGUACGGCCACAUUGGGACUGAGGUACGGCCCAG